UAGAGAGGUUCAGAUUUGACUUCCACUACCGCUACCGCUCACUUACUCUGUGUGAACCUGAUUGGUUAAUCCGGUAGAUCACACGCACCUGAUUGCAUAAUUGUCCCUUAGCGGUAGAGGAAGUGGAAGUCAAAUCUGAACCUCUCUA